AAAAAAGAUACAUGCAUUAGUACCAGUGCUCCUGGGGCAUUAUUUUCUAACAGAAAAAACGAAAGAAGAAGUCUAAUUGCAAUGAAUACCACUCACAAUUCUACAGCUUGGGAAUGCUACAUACUUUGCAUGAGAAGAAAGUAAAGGCUCAAGGCCACUACCACUCCGAGGCUAUCUUGAAAAUGCAAUGGAAACAGAAGCUUCUUUUCCCUGUUCACAGAAGAAAACAAAUCAGGAAAUUAG